CACACAGGGAGCUGCGGGAGCUGGGGAAGCGUCGUGCCCACGUGCGGCUCAGGGCCGGAUGGUACUCUCCUGCUCGUGGACACCAGACGCCUCCCAGUCCCGUUGAGCCGACGCGGAAUCCGUCUUCCCUCACGUACCUGUAUCUGUGCCUGUCCUUUUGCUUCCGUUUCUCUACAGGAUCUUUAUGCGUUUUGUUUAUUUAUUUAUUUAUUUUUAGAGAUGUAUUUAUUUAUUUGAAAGAGUUACAGAGAGAGAGAGAGAGAGGCCUUCAAUCUAUUGGUUCACUCCCCAGAUGACUGCAAUGGCCAGCCCUGGGCCAGGCUGAAGCCAGGAGCUCCAUCCAGGUCUCCCACAGGUGUGGCAGGGAUCCAAGCACCUGGGCCAUCAUCCUCUGCUGCUUUUACCCAGGCCAUUAGCAGGGAGCUGGACCAGGAGUGGAGCAGCUUGGACACGAACUGGCAUCUUUAUGGGAUGCCAGUGUUGCACAUGGCGGCUGUACUUGCUAUGCCACAGCACCAGCCCCAUACAUAUGCAUUUUAUUUAUGAUUCCACAACACAGGGAACUUGAACUUAGAAACAGCUAGCAGCGCCCCCAGGACCGAGCCUGGCUGGCAGGAAGACGACAGCCCAGCGCCCACUGGGAGGGCAGCGUCCUGUUCCCAGCCCGGGCCUGCAGAGCUGGGUCCCUGCCGCGCCGCUGGGGCUGGCAGCAAGGCGCCUUCCAGGUGGGCUCUGGCUUCUCUCAAGGCGGCUCUGCUGCGGGCCCCUCCCCGUCUGGGGGUCAGCCAGUUCUGUCCGGCAGGGCCUUGUGUGUUCUGUGGAAUGCGUAAGGAAAGAGGAAGACAAAGGAGGAAGGCAGAGCACUGAGUGGCUCUGGCCUCCCUGGGCGUGCAGCCCGGAAACCAGGCGCCCUCCCUGGAUCUGAAGCGUGGGGGUGGACCGCUCUUCUCUAUGCAGCCUGGUAAGGUGAUGAAACUCGAAACAGAGACGGCCGCAGAACCAGUUCCGUGGGGCUGCUGUGAGCCCCACGCCAGCCACACGGUCCAGCCAGCAGCCCCCGAUUCCACCUCGCGGCUCCCGGGCCAACCUGGUGCUGUCAGCGAAGCUCCUGGAGGAGCAGUGGCCCCAGCGAGGGAGGCUGCACCCGGGCUCUUCCCGCUCCGUCUCCCCCCGGGCGGGCGUUUGGCAGGGCAGCUGGGACCUCUGAAACCUGGAUCGGGGUCUCUGGUUUGAGUCCAGGCUCUGCUCUCGAUCCAGCUGCCUGCUCCUGUGCACCGGGGGAGACAGCAGCCAGGGCCCCAGGACUUGGGAGGCGUUGCUGACUUCCACACAUUCAGGGAGUGAGCCGGAGCACGGGGACUCUGUCAGUCCCUCAUCCGUGCAUCGUCCGUCUGUCUUUCUCUGUCUCUCAAGGGAAAGGAAGCAGCAGAGCGCCGAGGACACCACCUCAGGCUCAGGGCUGGGUCCUGGAAUGUGCUCUCAGAGCAGCGUCCCGGAGCUGCUGUAAUGGCUGCGUGAGAAAGAAACGUGCUUCCCCGAGCUGCGUUACCGGAGCCUUUUUCUAUGUAGAGACGCUCUCACUCGGGGCAGACUUGGCCGCUGUAAACUAGCCAGAGCCUCAGCUGGCGUCCGCCCCGCGUUCCCGGGGAAGAAUCCCACCAGCCCAGGCCCGGCUCCCUGCUCUGCACACGCUGCCCGCACGGGGGGCAGCUGGGUCGACAGCCCCUCCCUGAGACCCCGUUGGAUUUGCCGAGAGGUUCUGCCGGAGCUGCCAGAUCCCCUCCCAGGCCUGGCUCAGCCCUGGCGGUUGUGGGCACUUGGAGAGUGAACCGGCAGACACAAGAUUCUCUCUCUCUCUCCCUCUCUCUCUCUCUCUCCCUCUCCCCCCCCCCCCCCGUCUCUCAUU